GACUCCAGCCAAAUUUUUCCAACAAAAAAUUUUCGUCUGGGCUUCUACAGCAGAUGACUUCCGUCUACAGCAUCAACGCCUAAAGCACCCAACUACAGUUAACCCAUCAGCAACCUCAGAAAUAUCCGAGCUUCUCUUAGAUUGCUGAGACAGAGAGCUAUUCCGCUCCACCAGACGUCCCAACCGAGCUUCAGCCGUCCGGCCAAAACUCCCCGAC
rnacentral:lncRNA from 1 species